GCCUGGGGGGCUCAGUCGGUUGAGCGUCCGACUUCGGCUCAGGUCAUGAUCUCACGGUUCGUGGGUUCGAGCCCCACAUCAGGCU
rnacentral:tRNA from 1 species